rnacentral:rRNA from 1 species
UACGAAGGGGGCUAGCGUUGCUCGGAAUCACUGGGCGUAAAGCGCACGUAGGCGGGUGAUUAUAGCGGGGGUGAAAUCCUGGAGCUCAACUCCAGAACUGCCUUCGAUACUGGCGAUCUCGAGUUCGGGAGAGGUGAGUGGAACUGCGAGUGUAGAGGUGAAAUUCGUAGAUAUUCGCAAGAACACCAGUGGCGAAGGCGGCUCACUGGCCCGAUACUGACGCUGAGGUGCGAAAGCGUGGGGAGCAAACAGG